AGUCAAGACCAAGUCAAGACCGAGUCCAAAGAGGUUCAAGUCCAAAUCAAGCCCGGGUCCAAAUGAGAAAAAGUUUGAAAGGUCUGAGUUUGAAUUAAACCAAUUCCCAUUUUCUUAACAAGCACACUUCAACAAUGGUUUUGUUUUAAAGAAACUAGUUACUUUAGAAAAAAAAGCAUAUGUUCGAGACCAACUAGAAUAUUUGGGGAGACUGAUGUCCGAGUCCGAGACAAGUGUGAGUGUAGAUACCAACGAGUCCAAGACAAGUCCGGGACAAUAGAAAAACUUUUUGGGUCCGAUCUUACUACAGCACUAUAAAUAGCUAAUAGUAAUGGCUAAACAGUUGAAACAGCCAAAAAUAUUGCAUAAGCGGCUAAAAUGACUAGCUAAAAGUAGACCUACUGACUAAACAGUUGAAAUAAUUAGCCUCGAUUGAGACCAACAAAAAUAUUUGGCGAGACCAAUGGCCGAGUCCGAGACAAGUUCGAGUGCAAAUACAAACAAGACCAAUGGCCAAGAUUGGGACAAGAGAAAAACAUCUUGAGUCCGAGACCGGACUUGAGUACUACAUCAUUAUAAAUAGCUAAUAGUAAUGGCUGAACAGUUGAAAUAAAAGCUAAGUAGCUAAAAUUGCUAAAAGUAGGCCUACCACCUUAACAGUUAAAAUGGUUUGCUUAAAGUAAUUGACAGACGUUUGAAACAUUUAGCAAUCUAAAUAUUGACAGUUCAACAGUUCAAGUAUGAAAAAAAUGUACAAUAUCCGCUUUUAUAUAAUGAAUAGUAUUAAACAUUUGGAACAUACAUUGGACCAAAAAGGUUGGGAACCAUUGGUCUAGGCUAUAUGGCCAAAACAACAAAAACAAGACCCAGCAUCCAAAACAAUAAGUUUUUUAAAUUGUCCUUUAAACCUUUACAUGUGCAGUGCAAGAGGAAAAUACUUUUAAUGUUGGCAGUACACUCCAAACAAAACAUGUUCUUAAAUGCUUAAACUGCUGUAACAUGGUAUUGUGAGCAAACGCUUAACAUAAAGACUCCAACUAUUCAUUUACUGAGGUGCAAAGUUGAACAAAUUGCAAGCCUGCCAAAAUAUAAAACUCCAUUGUGUUUGCUAAAUGGCCUUUUUGGCUGAAAGAAGACAUCAAAUUAAAUCUUGUUUGGAGUGUUGCGUUCGUCGAGCUGCUGCUCCUCAUGUUGCUCAAACUGAAGAAUAUGUAUGUUCAUUUGAUUUCAGUUGAUUUAAGCGAGGAAAUAUGAAACUGUAACUUGUAAAGUGAUUUCCAGAAAACCAAAAAUGUACUCCAGUUCUGUUGAAGUGCAGUAUUUAGAUGUGAUGAUAAACAGUAGUACUGCGCAGCGGUGAAACUAUCAAUAAGCUUCUGAAAAAAAUGUCAUCACGUCAACAAUUCUGCGACUUUGAAACCUUUAUGUCCUGAGAAUUUCCUCAAAACUGGAAGAGUGCUGCUUAGCAGAAACCUAAAACUGUUACGUCUCACAACCUUUUUUUAGAGUCUGCCACGAACAUUUAUACCUCAUGAAUCCCAUACUAGAAUUAAAUACAUGUAAAAAAAAAUAUAUAGAAACUUCCAACUUCCAUUGUAUUGCAUAUAUAUGUUAGUGCUGAUCUUUAUGGAAUAACAGGGUGAUAUUGUACAGAUAAUGUGUCUGUUGAGAGUACAAAAACUGCAUUGUGUCUUUAGAGGUGAGCAAUUGUUUUUAUAAGUUUUGUUUAGACUGUAUGCCACUUUUACCCGAUCAUUAUGAACCAUUAGGUGAAUCACUAAAAGUUGAUUCUCAAAGCAACAUUCAAAUAUUUUAAGAAAUACUAUCCAGUGAUUUCCUCAGACAAUAUGAAAAUGAAGAACAUGUCUGUGUCUAGCACAGAAACAUAAGUGCCCAGUGGUCUGAUGGCAAACCCCAAUAUUCAGAAAAAGCCUGUUAAGGUCCUUGCACACUGAGCACGAAAUUUUCAAAUGCGUUUUUUCAUACCUGUUAUCCUAAAGAUUCGUCACGCACAGAAACAUUGCACACGGAGUUCAAUGCAUUAAUUAAUUCAUUGCGAAAAAUGUUGCAAAACAAAAUGUGAUGCUGCUGUCGCUCUGCCUCUCUCCUUCUCCCUCGUUUCAUCCCUGGCUUCUCUCCGUUGACAGUAACAUUACCUCGCUAGGCUGUCCUCUCUGCCUGCGUCUUCUUGCGUAGCCAGGGUGCGUCUUCUUGCGUUUGGCACCCAGGAUACCUGAAGGAUACCUGAAGGAGUUGCACUGCCCUUGCUGUCUGCGAAGAAACGCAGUAAAUGUAACCCAUUCCAAAUUUUUAUGAUGGACGAAACUUCGGAGGCAGUGUGUAAAUAUGAUUGACAGUGUGAGGUUGUCUUUAUUUUUUAACGUGUGAAGAUUUUGGAUGAAAAUUUUGGACUUGGUGUACAAGGACCUUCAGUCUGACAGCCCAUUAUCCCGAAAUCAAGAGCCCAUUGUUCUGAAAAUACACACUGGAGUUGUUGGAGUCCAUUGACUUUACUACUACUUUCCAGACUAUGUUAACAUAUUGCUUAAUUUAACAGAUCUGGGUUUCCUGUUAUGCAGAUGAUACAACUUUUUAUGACUCCUAAAAAAAGACUUGCUAACUUGAAACUGCUAGCUGUGCUAAGUAUCUUGUUAGCUAACAAGCUAGUUAGCAGUCUAUCCUGCAGUCAGCUGGUUUAGUUGGCAGCAGAGUAAAGACUACAGGGAGUUCAGGACUUUAGAGAUGCUGCGUUCAGUAACUGCUCCCAGCAGUUGUUGGCUAACAGAUAGCUCCAACGCUAACGGCUGCUAAUACCAUAAUGUUUCCAGACUUCCAGUCUUUGUGCUAAGCUAAGCUAAGCAUCCUGGACCCGUCUGUGUGUUAGGGCUGUCCUUGAUUAAGAAAUUCUUAGUCGACUAACACUGUUAUGAUAUUGUCGAUUAAUAACCGACAGAUCUGUAAAACUCCAGUUUCUCCACAAAGAAUCAUGUAACAGCUUGAAAUCUUGUGUUUACCAGAGAUGUGCUCAGAGGUUCCUUGGAAACAAUUCUUUUAGCAUGAAAAAGCUUAAAAAAAUGAUGAAAUCUUAAUCAACUAAGAACAAAACGAUUGAUUAGUCGACUGACUUGGAGAAGGCAGCCCUAAUGUAAAAACAGUUAUUGUGUUUUCUGAGGACAAAGUAUUUUACAAAAUGUCUGAAUGUUUCUUUAAAGUUUUUGCAAUAACAGCAGAGUUUGUGUUGUCGAGGUAAAGAGGACUGAAGAGCUCACCGUGUUAGUUCAGUGUGAUGAUCCGUGAGUGUCUUUCACUUGUAAAAUACAUGUAAGCUUUUUUUUCUAUCACUAUAUGAUUGUACAGUACUGCUUGUAUAAUUUACAGGUAAAGCAUGUAUUUUAAACUUUUUUUAAAUCCAAAUGAUAACCGUGUACAUAUAUACAGAAAUGUAGAAAGUAAUUAGGUUUGCAGUUAAUCUUAAAUAGCAUGAUAAUUAGCGGGGUUCAGUAUGUAUGUACAGACUGUAUGUUGAAUCUUUAUGAAGGGAAACACUUGAAAAUCACCUGAUAUCAGACUGCGUGCUGUCUAAGGAUAAACUCUGCAAUGCAUUUUUUGUGCCUUUUAUAUCAAUGUAUGUAAUCUAGACAAUCUUCAAAAGCUUGUGUACAACCAAAAUGACAUUAAAAUGGUUUUGGGGGGAAAUGCACCA